rnacentral:rRNA from 1 species
UACGUAGGGUGCAAGCGUUAAUCGGAAUUACUGGGCGUAAAGCGUGCGCAGGCGGUUGCGCAAGACAGAUGUGAAAUCCCCGGGCUCAACCUGGGAACUGCAUUUGUGACUGCACAGCUUGAGUGCGGCAGAGGGGGAUGGAAUUCCGCGUGUAGCAGUGAAAUGCGUAGAUAUGCGGAGGAACACCGAUGGCGAAGGCAAUCCCCUGGGCCUGCACUGACGCUCAUGCACGAAAGCGUGGGGAGCAAACAGG